GACGAACGCUGGCGGCGUGCUUAACACAUGCAAGUCGAACGGUGAUGCUCCAGCUUGCUGGAGUGGAUCAGUGGCGAACGGGUGAGUAACACGUGAGCAACCUGCCCCAGACUCUGGAAUAAGCGCUGGAAACGGCGUCUAAUACUGGAUACGAAACUGGCCCGCAUGGGCAUGGUUUGGAAAGUUUUUCGGUUUGGGAUGGGCUCGCGGCCUAUCAGCUUGUUGGUGAGGUAAUGGCUCACCAAGGCGACGACGGGUAGCCGGCCUGAGAGGGCGACCGGCCACACUGGGACUGAGACACGGCCCAGACUCCUACGGGAGGCAGCAGUGGGGAAUAUUGCACAAUGGGCGAAAGCUUGAUGCAGCGACGCCGCGUGAGGGAUGACGGCCUUCGGGUUGUAAACCUCUUUCAGCAGGGAAGAAGCGAAAGUGACGGUACCUGCAGAAGAAGCACCGGCUAACUACGUG
rnacentral:rRNA from 1 species